AUGCUGGGGUUACAUCAUUCCUUCUGCGUGGCGUGGGGGGCUUGGGGACUAGUGUUUAGGGGCGAGGAGAGCAACUAACUGACUAACCCAAGAUGGGUUGAUACCUCGACAUCAUCCAUUCUUAUUUAUGGCAUUAUUUUUGUUUGUUCAUGGGUUGGGCUGGGUUCGGUUUGGCCGGGGCCCGGCCACAUUGGAUGGAAUAUGGAAAGGAAUAUGGAUGAUGAAAGGGAUGGAUGGAAUGGAUAAAGAUGGUGGAACACACACUUGUUUUGGGUUGUGGCAUCGGCUGAACCUCAAAGUUUGAUCAGAGUUUCGGCCGUUUAUUUUUGGCACAGAAACUUCGCCCUUGGUUUCAAGAUCCAGGAGAGGAAGGAGAAUGGAGGCGACCUAGAUGUACAGGUACAGGUGGAGGUACAUGGACAGGUACAUGGACAGCAACGUGUGGACUGCACCGUGUCUCCAAGCGACGAUGGUAGCAGGUACUUCAUUCUCGCUGGGGUCCCCGGGUGUAGUUUGUUUGUUAGUGUGGGGAAGGGUACGGCACACAUGGAGACAACGAGAAGAGAACGAGAAGGACCUUCUUUCGUCUCUUUGCAGCAAAGGAGCGCGGGACAGCGAGCAGUGCGUGGAGCAGACAUUGCCAGGCUGGAUUGUGUUCAUAUACA
rnacentral:sRNA from 1 species